UCCCUGAGACCAUUGACUGCAUUUGUUUGAGGUUUCAAUGUAGUUUUUGGUAUCAGGAUUG
rnacentral:pre_miRNA from 1 species